rnacentral:rRNA from 1 species
UACAGGGGGUGCAAGCGUUACUCGGAAUUAUUGGGCGUAAAGAGCGCGUAGGUGGUUUACUAAGUCUGGUGUGAAAGCCCUGGUCUCAAGCCAGGAAGUGCAUUGGAUACUGGUAGGCUAGAGUGUAGGAUGGGAUGGCGGAAUUUCCGGUGUAGAGGUGAAAUUCGUAGAUAUCGGAAGGAACAACAGUGGCGAAGGCGGCCAUCUGGACUACAACUGACACUGAGGCGCGAAAGCGUGGGGAGCAAACAGG